GUGGGGAAUAUUGGGCAAUGGGCGCAAGCCUGACCCAGCAACGCCGCGUGAAGGAAGAAGGCUUUCGGGUUGUAAACUUCUUUUGUCAGGGAAGAGGAGAAGACUGUACCUGGCGAAUAAGCCACGGCUAACUACGUGCCAGCAGCCGCGGUAAUACGUAGGUGGCAAGCGUUGUCCGGAUUUACUGGGUGUAAAGGGCGUGUAGCCGGGUCGGUAAGUCAGAUGUGAAAUCUACGGGCUCAACUCGUAAACUGCAUUUGAAACUGCUGAUCUUGAGUAUCGGAGAGGCAAUCGGAAUUCCUAGUGUAGCGGUGAAAUGCGUAGAUAUUAGGAGGAACACCAGUGGCGAAGGCGGAUUGCUGGACGACAACUGACGGUGAGGCGCGAAAGCGUGGGGAGCAAACAGGAUUAGAAACCCUUGUAGUCC
rnacentral:rRNA from 1 species